GAAAUCGCCGUUAGUCAUGUGCAAAUAUGGAUAGCUGUUUUAGCCGUCUUUAUUGACUGGUUUAUAAGAGUUAUCAGAUAGCACUUUGAUUAAAUUAGAGUGCUUAAAGCAAGUGUGUUACUUGGAUAUAAAUGCAUGGAAUGAUGGAAUAUGUUGUUAUUCUAUUUGUUGGUUUUUGAAUGAUAAAAUGAUUGAAAGGAACUGUUGGGGGCAUUCGUAUUGUUGUGAGAGAGGUGAAAUUCUUAGACCACAGCAAGACGAACUACUGCGAAAGCAUUCGCCAAGAAUGUUUUCAUUGAUCAAGAACGAAAGUUAGAGGUUCGAAGGCGAUCAGAUACCGCCCUAGUUCUAACCAUAAACUAUGCCAACUAGCAAUUUGCUUUGUAUUUUUUAUGACUAAGUGAGAGGCCACGGGAAACCUAAGUAGGGUUAUGGGGGAAGUAUGGUUGCAAAGCUGAAACUUAAAGGAAUUGACGGAAGGGCACCACCAGGAGUGGAGCCUGCGGCUUAAUUUGACUCAACACGGGAAAACUUACCUGGUCCUGACACUAGAAGGAUUGACAGAUUGAUAGCUCUUUCUUGAUUUGGUGGAUGGUGGUGCAUGGCCGUUCUUAGUUGGUGGAGUGAUCUGUCUGGUUAAUUCCGAUAACGAACGAGACUCUAGCCUAUUAAAUAAUACACGGAAUUUUAUCUUCCGCGGUAUUUCUUAGUGGGAUCAAGCG
rnacentral:rRNA from 1 species